GAUACCCUUAUAGACUUGGAACAUGGACUGUUCCACAAAGCCAACAAAAAGGCAGGCAUAACUUGGGACCCAUAUGGGUGCCCAUGGGUACACCCUUGGUUUGGAGGAAGUGGGAGGAGCCAAAGGAGAAAUUAUUAAGAACUAAUUCCGCUAGACGGAGGAGAGUGGUAGUAGAGGGGAAUUGGUUAGGUCUGGAAUCCAAAAAGAAGUGAAGAGCUUUGAGACUGUCCUGGUGGGAGAUGGAGUAUAUAAGGACGGGACAUCCAUGGUGAAAAUAAGGCGGUGGGGGUCUUUCUACUGUAUCUCAAUAAAUUUAACAACAAUAAAACCAACCAGGUCUCUCUCUACAUCUCUUCCCUCCAACCUAUCAGAAAGAUCCCAGAGAAAGGGAGGAGGGUGGAGAAUCACAAACAAGAGCGACACACACAAGAUGCUGAAAGGACUCAGCAGGCCAGGCUGCAUCUAUGGAGAAAGUUUGUCAUUCUUUGCACACUGGUUGAACAUCCAAGUUGGUGUGGCCUUCCCUUGAUUCGAUUGAUUCUGGAGGACACUGGAGCACCCGGAGGGAAUCUGUGCAGGCACAGGGAAAACCUGCGAACUCCACAGCACCCGAGGUCAGGACUGAACCUGGGUUCCUGGAGCUGAGAGGAAGCGCCUCUUCUCUGCAAUCACUACUGUCACUCCACUCUUCAAAUUACUAUUUCAUCAGCAAAAGAUUAGCCGUGGCUUUAUCCUCAACUUGUGUUACGUCUGGCUGAGGCCUGAAGCAGUGCCAGGGAAUGGAUAGCUCAGAUUGCACCAGAGGUAACAGAAUGAACUCACUUGUCCUUCAGUCAUUUGACUGGAGUC